GACGAACGCUGGCGGCGUGCCUAAUACAUGCAAGUAGAACGCUGAAGAGAGGAGCUUGCUCUUCUUGGAUGAGUUGCGAACGGGUGAGUAACGCGUAGGUAACCUGCCUGGUAGCGGGGGAUAACUAUUGGAAACGAUAGCUAAUACCGCAUAAAAUUGAUUAUUGCAUGAUAAUUAAUUGAAAGAUGCAACUGCAUCACUACCAGAUGGACCUGCGUUGUAUUAGCUAGUUGGUGAGGUAACGGCUCACCAAGGCGACGAUACAUAGCCGACCUGAGAGGGUGAUCGGCCACACUGGGACUGAGACACGGCCCCGACUCCUACGGGAGGCAGCAGUAGGGAAUCUUCGGCAAUGGGGGGAACCCUGACCGAGCAACGCCGCGUGAGUGAAGAAGGUUUUCGGAUCGUAAAGCUCUGUUGUAAGAGAAGAACGGGUGUGAGAGUGGAAAGUUCACACUGUGACGGUAUCUUACCAGAAAGGGACGGCUAACUACGUG
rnacentral:rRNA from 1 species